rnacentral:rRNA from 1 species
UAGGGAAUCUUCGGCAAUGGGGGGAACCCUGACCGAGCAACGCCGCGUGAGUGAAGAAGGUUUUCGGAUCGUAAAGCUCUGUUGUUAAGGAAGAACGAGUGUGAGAAUGGAAAGUUCAUGCUGUGACGGUACUUAACCAGAAAGGGACGGCUAACUACGUGCCAGCAGCCGCGGUAAUACGUAGGUCCCGAGCGUUGUCCGGAUUUAUUGGGCGUAAAGCGAGCGCAGGCGGUUAGAAAAGUCUGAAGUGAAAGGCAGUGGCUCAACCAUUGUAGGCUUUGGAAACUGUUUAACUUGAGUGCAGAAAGGGAGAGUGGAAUUCCAUGUGUAGCGGUGAAAUGCGUAGAUAUAUGGAGGAACACCAGUGGCGAAGGCGACUCUCUGGUCUGUAACUGACGCUGAGGCUCGAAAGCGUGGGUAGCAAACAGG